AACUGAUACUACCUGCGGGAACCUGCGGAAGGAUCAUUACUGAGUGCGGGCCCUCUGGGUCCAACCUCCCACCCGUGUCUAUCGUACCUUGUUGCUUCGGCGGGCCCGCCGCCUGGCCGCCGGGGGGCCUCCGCCCCCGGGCCCGCGCCCGCCGAAGACACCACCGAACGCUGUCUGAAGAUUGUCGUCUGAGCGAUUAGCGAAAUUAGUUAAAACUUUUAACAAUGGAUCUCUAGAUCG
rnacentral:misc_RNA from 1 species